CAACAUCCUCUUUCAUUUUUAAAGCUAAAUAAAGCUUCAGUACUCCACCCAUAAAUCAGCAUGAUAAACCCUUUUGAAACUCAGCUCAAAAUAUACUAUAUAAAUCAUUCCCAAGCAUCCAUGUGAGAGCUAAAACAAAUUCAGCUCUUUUACCCCAAAAAUCCACCACCAAAACAGUCCCUUUAAACCACAAAAAUCUGCUCCAAUUUCUUUUCUUGAAGCCAUUGAAAGCUUCCAUUUUAACCACCAAAAUAGCCCCAAUUUUCCAGUUGAAACUACCUCAAACUCCAGCCGGAAAUUGCUGCCAAAACAGUCCAAAACCAACCCAAAAUUCCAGCCAAAAGAAGCUGCGAAAAUCAGCUUUGAAACAGCCCGAAACACCGUUGCAAAGCUUCAAAACUAGCAGCUCUUUCAUAAUCUUUUAACAUCCAAAACGAGCUCACAGACAUCAUAAAAUCAGCAAGAAAAGCCACCAUUGUUUGCUGAAAUCUGAGAAGAAAACAAUCCGGGAAAAGUUGUUUCCGACGAGGUCUUGUUUCGAGGUUCCGACGUGGUCUUAACAUGGCGAUUUUGUUUGUUGUUAGCUUCUUCAGCGUGCCUCUGUAUUCCUUGAUUGAAAUCUUAUAAAAAAUAUCAUUAUUUCGGAGUUGGAUUCUAAAGGAAAGACGAUUUUAGAGCUUUGAUUGCUAUUUUCGGAUCGAGGUAAGUGUUUGUUCUAAUUUUGGCUUGAGGGAUUAGGAUUAGGAUAUUAUUUGUUACGUGUUAACUGUGCAGAACGGUGUAUAGGCAUGGUGACGGUUAUAUAUGCACCGGAGUCUAGCAUGACCGUGAGUCGUAGUUGCUUUUAAAUUCGAACGAUGUAAAACAAUUGAGUUAAUUACUUGCUAAUUUAAUUAUGAAGUGAUAGCUGAGAAGUAAAUGAGUUAAAGAAGGAAGUGUGAUAUUUUUUCCCUUGCCGAGACUUAUUGUUGACUUGUUCUCCCUUGUCGGGAUGUUUAAUAUUGUUGUAUAUUCCCUUCCCUGAUUGGUUGUGACCGUUGAUUGUGUGAGGUUUUGAUAAUUAUGCACGAAGGAUCUUUUCGUGCCAUGUUUUUGAUUAAUUGAGCACGAAGGGUCAUUCAGUGCCUUGAUAUGAGAGUUGUGUGAGGAAAAGCACGAAGGGUGAUGUCGUGCACUAUAUUUGAUGGUUUUGGUAAGAAAUAAGAGUAAAAGCACGAAGGUUGGUGCCGUGCAGUUGUUGAUACACUUGCUUUUAUUGAUGUUAGUUAUUCAGUUUCUAUUUCUUAUUCGUUGAUAUUAUAUAAAUUGUUACACCCUACAGCAUGCCCCCUUCCUAUUAUCUGUUUACAUUUUGUAUAUUUUUUCAUUAUUGCACAUAUAUCUUUACAGGUUAAUUGUGGUAGGUCCGGGCUAGCCUCGUCACUACCUUGUCGGGGUUAGGCCAAGCACUACCAGCACAUGGGGUGGUUAUGCUGAUACUACACUUCUGUACCCUUUUUGUGCACAGAUUUGGGAGCAGCUUAUGGACUGUAGUACUAGUAGAUUGUGAGUGCCUUCAGUCCAGAGACUCCUAGGUAGUUCGCUGGCGUGCGCGGGCCUUGAGUCUCAUCUAUUUUAUUUAUGCUUGUUUUCAUUGUAUCGAGACUGACUUCUAUGUAUUUUCUUUCAGACUCUUAUUUGUAUUAUUUCAUUAUAAUCCGUGAGCAUUGUAACACUAAAACUUGAGUAGAGGAUGAUGUUAACUUUUUCGUGUUUCUUUUAUUAAUGUUAAAUUGAGAUUUCUGCUUAAA
rnacentral:lncRNA from 1 species